rnacentral:rRNA from 1 species
ACGGAAGGCAGCAGUGGGGAAUAUUGCACAAUGGGCGAAAGCCUGAUGCAGCGACGCCGCGUGAGUGAAGAAGUAUUUCGGUAUGUAAAGCUCUAUCAGCAGGGAAGAAAAAUGACGGUACCUGACUAAGAAGCACCGGCUAAAUACGUGCCAGCAGCCGCGGUAAUACGUAUGGUGCAAGCGUUAUCCGGAUUUACUGGGUGUAAAGGGAGCGCAGGCGGUACGGCAAGUCUGAUGUGAAAGCCCGGGGCUCAACCCCGGUACUGCAUUGGAAACUGUCGAACUAGGGUGUCGGAGGGGUAAGCGGAAUUCCUAGUGUAGCGGUGAAAUGCGUAGAUAUUAGGAGGAACACCAGUGGCGAAGGCGGCUUACUGGACGAUAACUGACGCUGAGGCUCGAAAGCGUGGGGAGCAAACAGGAUUAGAUACCCUGGUA